CCUACAUGAAGCUGGAAUUGCUAGUAAUCACGGGUCAGCAUACUGUGGUGAAUACGUUCCCGGGCCUUGUACACACCGCCCGUCACACCAUGAGAGUUGAGAAUACCCGAAGCCCAUGUCAAAGUGGUCGAAGGUAGGCUUGAUGAUUGGGGUGAAGUCGUAACAAGGUAGC
rnacentral:rRNA from 1 species